rnacentral:rRNA from 1 species
UACAGAGGGGGCAAGCGUUAUUCGGAAUUAUUGGGCGUAAAGGGCGCGUAGGCGGCUUGGCAAGUGGAAGGUGAAAUCCCUCGGCUUAACCGAGGAACUGCCCUCCAAACUGCUUUGCUUGAGGCCGGGAGAGGUGAGUGGAAUUCCCAGUGUAGCAGUGAAAUGCGUAGAUAUUGGGAGGAACACCAGUGGCGAAGGCGGCUCACUGGACCGGUUCUGACGCUGAGGCGCGAAAGCGUGGGGAGCAAACGGG